CAGUAGCCGCGGGAAUACGUAGGGUGCAAGCGUUAAUCGGAAUUACUGGGCGUAAAGCGUGCGCAGGCGGUUAUAUAAAACAGAUGUGAAAUCCCCGGGCUCAACCUGGGAACUGCAUUUGUGACUGUAUAGCUAGAGUACGGCAGAGGGGGAUGGAAUUCCGCGUGUAGCAGUGAAAUGCGUAGAUAUGCGGAGGAACACCGAUGGCGAAGGCAAUCCCCUGGGCCUGUACUGACGCUCAUGCACGAAAGCGUGGGGAGCAAACAGGAUUAGAGACCCGAGUAGUCCCUGUCUCUUAUAC
rnacentral:rRNA from 1 species